rnacentral:rRNA from 1 species
UACGUAGGUGGCAAGCGUUGUUCGGAUUCAUUGGGCGUAAAGGGUGCGUAGGCGGCGCGGUAAGUCGGGUGUGAAAUCUCGGAGCUUAACUCCGAAACUGCAUUCGAUACUGCCGUGCUUGAGGACUGGAGAGGAGACUGGAAUUUACGGUGUAGCGGUGAAAUGCGUAGAUAUCGUAAGGAAGACCAGUGGCGAAGGCGGGUCUCUGGACAGUUCCUGACGCUGAGGCGCGAAAGCCAGGGGAGCAAACGGG